UACGGGGGGGGGCAAGCGUUGUUCGGAAUUACUGGGCGUAAAGGGCUCGUAGGUGGCCAACUAAGUCAGACGUGAAAUCCCUCGGCUUAACCGGGGAACUGCGUCUGAUACUGGAUGGCUUGAGUUUGGGAGAGGGAUGCGGAAUUCCAGGUGUAGCGGUGAAAUGCGUAGAUAUCUGGAGGAACACCGGUGGCGAAGGCGGCAUCCUGGACCAACACUGACGCUGAGGAGCGAAAGCCAGGGGAGCAAACGGG
rnacentral:rRNA from 1 species